CCUCCAAGCUCCCUCCCCCUUUGAAAGAGCCUCCUAACAGUCUUUUUACUUUCCCACCUGCUGCAUUGCCAAGUGUCCUAUUGCCCCUCGCCCCAUUUUGAAUUGAAGUGAGGGUGGUUUCAAGAUAACCACCCCCAGGAGAAGAGCUGUAUGUGGUAUGGGGGAUUCACUGGACACCAGCUCAUCCCUGACCUUAGUGGCACCCCCACCCCCACCCUGGAAGGUUCCCCCAGGCACCAUGCCAGCCCCAUAGUGCCACGCACCCCACCCUCUGUGGUCUGCUGCACCCCACUGCUGGGGCACUUGUUCCAAUGAGACAGGGCACACCAAACUCCAUCUGUCUGUUACUGAGGCGGAGACACGGGUGAUGAUUGGCUUUCUGGGGAGAGAGGAAGUCCUGUGAUUGGCCGGAUCUGUGGAGCUCGCCGACGCGCUGAGAGGACGCUCCCACGGAGGCCGGGUAAGCAGCCGCGGCGCUGCCUGCCGUCCCGUGGCUCCCGGCUGGAAGCCUGGCAGCGCAGCCACCCUGUCCCACCGAGCGGCCCGACCGCUCCCGGCCACUCGUCCCGGCUCCUAGCCACUCUCCUGGGCCUCUAGGGGCUCUUUAGGCCGGGUGGGCCUCCCCUCAGGGCAAGCCAAGGCUGGGCUCCCUGCACAGAUGACAGACCUGUGGGUGCCACAGCCAGGCCAGCCUAGCCCCGGCCCCGACUGUGUGCUGGCCAGCUCACCUCCCUCCUUUUUCUUCUCCGCUCUGCAGAAUUGGCUGUGAAAGGCCCUGGGCUGCCAUCUGGGGGCAGUGGGCCCUACUGUCAGAGCAGCUGGAGCGGGACCAUCACCCCAGAGAGCUGGGGCAGGGGGCCGUGCCCGAUCUCCAGGGCUCCUGGGGCCACUGCUGACCUGGUAAGGGAAAGACUGGGGCUAGGUUGGCUGUGUGUACAUUGGCAGCUCAGGCUCUGCCCCCAGUAAGAUCAUCAUC
rnacentral:lncRNA from 1 species